rnacentral:rRNA from 1 species
AGCCAUGCCGCGUGUGUGAAGAAGGCCUUUUGGUUUGUAAAGCACUUUAAGCAGUGAAGAAGACCUAACGGUUAAUACCCGUUAGCGAUGACAUUAGCUGCAGAAUAAGCACCGGCUAACUCUGUGCCAGCAGCCGCGGUAAUACAGAGGGUGCAAGCGUUAAUCGGAAUUACUGGGCGUAAAGCGAGCGUAGGUGGCUUGAUAAGUCAGAUGUGAAAUCCCCGGGCUUAACCUGGGAACUGCAUCUGAUACUGUUGGGCUAGAGUAGGUGAGAGGGAGGUAGAAUUUCAGGUGUAGCGGUGAAAUGCGUAGAGAUCUGAAGGAAUACCGAUGGCGAAGGCAGCCUCCUGGCAUCAUACUGACACUGAGGUUCGAAAGCGUGGGUAGCAAACAGGAUUAGAUACCCUGGUAGUCCACGCCGUAAAACGAUGUCUACUAGUCGUUGGGGAACUUGAUUCCUUAGUGACGCAGCUAACGCAAUAAGUAGACCGCCUGGGGGAGUACGGCCGCAAGGUUAAAACUCAAAUGAAUUGACGGGGGCCCGCACAAGCGGUGGAGCAUGUGGUUUAAUUCGAUGCAACGCGAAGAACCUUACCUGGUCUUGACAUAUCUAGAAUCCUGCAGAGAUGCGGGAGUGCCUUCGGGAAUUAGAAUACAGGUGCUGCAUGGCUGUCGUCAGCUCGUGUCGUGAGAUGUUGGGUUAAGUCCCGCAACGAGCGCAACCCUUUUCCUUAGUUACCAGCGGUUUGGCCGGGGACUCUAAGGAUACUGCCAGUGACAAACUGGAGGAAGGCGGGGACGACGUCAAGUCAUCAUGGCCCUUACGACCAGGGCUACACACGUGCUACAAUGGUAGGUACAGAGGGCAGCUACACAGCGAUGUGAUGCGAAUCUCAAAAAGCCUAUCGUAGUCCAGAUUGGAGUCUGCAACUCGACUCCAUAAAGUAGGAAUCGCUAGUAAUCGCGGAUCAGAAUGCCGCGGUGAAUACGUUCCCGGGCCUUGUACACACCGCCCGUCACACCAUGGGAGUUGAUUGCACCAGAAGUGGGUAGCCUAACUUUUAGAGGGCGCUCACCACGGUGUGGUUGAUGACUGGGGUGAAGUCGUAACAAGGUAA